AAUGGUGAAACUCCAAAACCCUAAACAGAAUUUUUUCGAUUCCAAUGAAGGAGAAAGACAGCGAUGCCGCAUCUCCAACUCAUUCCGCUACCGCCAACUUACCUGCAUCUGAGCCUACAUCAAUGCGCCACCGUACCAAAGCUCUGAAGCCCAAGGCCAGCUCCCUCUCACUAUGGCGCGUCAUAUCCGCGCGGUGUUACUACUGCGUCGUCUUCUCCGGCAGGUUUUGCCACUUGUUCUACUUUUGCUCCGGCGGAUGUGAAGCACUCGAAGUACGGUUUGGGCGUGGACUCAGUGCCGAUGGUUGAGGAGAUCUGAGAGAAGAGUGAAAUAGAGAGAUUCAGAGAGGAAAGAGAGCUCGUAUCGCCAUUGCCACUACGGUUUAUCGCCUCUCCAGAUCUGGUUGCAACGCCCAAGCCUCUGAGGAUGUUCCGUUACGACCUCCUCGACGAGACGCAGAACAAGCUCAAUUACAUCCUCUCUCUCACCGUCGAGAACUUGCUCGAGCGCCGCCUCCAUAUUCUCGUCUUCAAGUCUGGUAUAGCUAAGUCCAUCCACCAGCGCUACAUUAGGUCUUUUUACAUCUUUCAACAUUUUUCCUCAAUUUAGGAUUUUUAAAUUCCUAACUUUCUAUCACUCAUGUUUCUUUGUUUUUUUGUACUUCCUAUAAAGUUUAGAAUCUAACUUCCUAAACAUUCAAGUAGCUCAAAAUUAAAGCCACAGAGGAGGUUGAUUGAGCUGGAGGCUUUGGAGAAAGUCAUCCAUGAAAGAAUAGAUGCUCCCGGAGUACCUAGGCAGUGGUGGUUUGGCGGGGGGAUUAACUUGACUCCUUCUUACAUUUUCGAGGAGGAUGUUAAACACUUCCAUUCGUUAUAUUCUCAAUGCAAAAAAUAUUAGUUCAUGAUAUUUUUGUGAUUUAAAUUUAGAAUUUUGGGGAGAAAACAAGUCAAGUAAAACACUAAUGAACCAUAGUUUUGCUGUUCUAAAAUGGCACUUCACAUUCAUGUAUUGAUGUUUUGCUUUAAUGGUGAUAGUGUGAUUAUACAACUAUGUCUUUUUUGUUUUAGUAAUAAUAUAGUUGUGUAUGACUUUCUAAAAAAAAUGUUUUACCAAAUUGACGUUGCAAAAUGUGUAUGUGGUUGUUGCAGCUAUGUGAAGCAGUAGUGUUGAAUCAUCAGCAAAAGAAGAAGAGUACCCUGUACCGAACAUUUAUGGCACCAUUUUGAGUAUCUAUCUAGAUUAUUAGUUAGUAUGCCAUUAAUGCUACAAUGCAAUUCAUGAAAAAAAAAAAAAAAGCAAGCAAAUUACUGACCAUUAAUUAAGGAAAGUUGCAAAGAUAGAAAAUUUGUAGGAAUUCCUGGCUUAAGGUAAAAGGGGAGGUUAGGUGAGAUGAUGUUAUAUAUAAAGGUACACAGCAGCCAGCUUUUUUGACUAAUUAAGAGCAUAUAUUAACAAUUAUUAAUAUAUAUAAUAUUAUACAGUUGAUAAUAGGGUCAUUACAACAGGUUUAAAUUGAAGAUAAUUGAUCCAAGUUUCAUAAGUGCUAAUUCAAUAUAGGGACUCUCUUCCUAGAAAUUAAAGAGUCAUUACAACACGUUUAAAUUGAAGAUAAUUGAAAUCCCCUACUUGCUUUAUUUGAAUUUUUUUUUAACUGCUAUGCGAGUUGUUGGUCCAACUCUUCUCACGAUUUGGUAAUUUCUUUUGUUGAUUCAGGUUGGAAGAGUUUGCUUGCUGUUGAUCCAACUCUUCUCAAAGACUAAUCUCUGUUGAAGCUUUAUCGCUUGAUCAACUUGUAGGUUAUGCUUGCUGCUGUCCUAUGUGAAGAAAUUGCCCAGAAGAAGUAUAAAGUUGCAAAGGAGAUAUUAAGAGCACUUGAAAAAAAAGAGACUCAUAUUUGAUUGAAUUAUUUGAUUGAUUUUAUUCAAUCUACCAACAUAAAGAUAUAUAUAACUGCGACUGCUGUUUAAAAUUUCAUUAUAAUGAAGUUAAUUAUUGCCUAUAUCCUUAAUCUAUAUAUGAACCUAAUUAAUUCUAAUUGCCAGUAUGAGAUAUUUAAGGUGAAUGAUUAUAAGCUAGCUAGUAAUAUUAUUUGUGCAUUCCUAAUUACUAAUGCUAGGGAAGUUUCUUUUAAAUUAGGAAGUGCAUCAGCUGGAAGAGGAUAGAAACAUAGCCCUACUGAAUAUUUGAACAGGCUCAGUUCACAAAUUGAUACUUGUUUGUCAGACUGCUAAUGUGACUAUAAUAGACAUCAGCUGAUCAAAGAGAAAGAUUAAUGGCAUCAACCGAGAGGUUGAACAAGUCUGGUGAUAGAAUUGAGGAUAGUAGAAGAACAAUAUUUGAGACAGAAGAUCUUGGGAUUUCUAUUCUUCAAGAUUUGCAUGCACAAUGAGAGUCUCUACUGCAAGCAAAUAACACGGUAGUGUUUAACUUUCUUGAAUAACUAACGAUUUGUCUGCGUUUCUUUUGGUAAUUAGUUAUAUUUUAAGAACUAUACACCCCUGAAAUAAAAAUUUAGGCAGUAUUUUGACUUUUAUCUCUGGGAUUUGACUCUCAUGUGGUAUUUGUGUAGUGUGUUUCUAGUUUCUUAACUUUAUUUGUGGUUGAAGAUAUGCUCUUCUGUCUAUUGAUGGUUAUGUCAUCUCAUGCAGUUUUAUGGAGUAAUAUUCUAUAGUUAUAAUCUCUUCUAUAAUUAUAUUCUAUAGUUCUAUUCUAUAGUUAU